rnacentral:rRNA from 1 species
AGAAUCAACGCUGGCGGCGUGCCUAACACAUGCAAGUCGAACGAGAAAGUGGAGCAAUCCAUGAGUAAAGUGGCGACCGGGUGAGUAACACGUGACUAACCUACCUUUUAGUGGGGGAUAACCUCGGGAAACCGAGGCUAAUACCGCAUAACAUCGCAAGAUCAAAGCAGCAAUACGCUGGAAGAGGGGGUCGCGGCUGAUUAGCUAGUUGGCGGGGUAACGCCCACCAAGGCGAAGAUCGGUAUCCGGCCUGAGAGGGCGCACGGACACACUGGAACUGAAACACGGUCCAGACUCCUACGGGAGGCAGCAGUGGGAAUUUUGCGCAAUGGGGGAAACCCUGACGCAGCAACGCCGCGUGGAGGAUGAAGCCCUUGGGGCGUAAACUCCUUUCGACCAAGACGAUAAUGACGGUACUGGUGGAAGAAGCACCGGCUAACUCUGCGCCAGCAGCCGC